UACGUAGGGGGCUAGCGUUGUCCGGAAUCAUUGGGCGUAAAGCGCGCGUAGGCGGCCAGAUAAGUCCGGUGUGAAAGCCACAGGCUCAACCUGUGAAUGCCGCUGGAAACUGUCUGGCUAGAGUCCGGGAGGGGCGAGUGGAAUUCCUGGUGUAGCGGUGAAAUGCGUAGAUAUCUGGAGGAACACCGGUGGCGAAGGCGGCAUCCUGGACCGGCAUUGACGCUGAGGCGCGAAAGCCAGGGGAGCAAACGGG
rnacentral:rRNA from 1 species